UACGUAGGGGGCAAGCGUUGUCCGGAAUCAUUGGGCGUAAAGAGCGUGUAGGCGGCUUGAUAAGUCUGCUGUGAAAGCCCAGGGCUCAACCCUGGAAGGCCGGUGGAAACUGUCGGGCUAGAGUCCGGAAGAGGCGAGUGGAAUUCCCGGUGUAGCGGUGAAAUGCGCAGAUAUCGGGAGGAACACCAAUGGCGAAGGCAGCUCGCUGGGACGGUACUGACGCUGAGACGCGAAAGCGUGGGGAGCAAACAGG
rnacentral:rRNA from 1 species